rnacentral:lncRNA from 1 species
CUCUCUUAUUUGAAAAUUGAAUAAUUUUAAAACUAAGAAUGGAGAAAAAUGUGCAGAGAGGAAGAAAAAUUUACUGUGUGCUUAGAUCUUUGAAAAUGUUAAAUUAAACACCACAUUAAAAAUUUGAUUUGUCUUUCUUCCUUUCUCACCAGCUUUGGGCAUUUUAGGAUGAAGCUAUCUGUGAAGAUUCCUGCAUUAUAUGAUGUUACUCAUUUCUACCCAGCUGAAUACGUGGGCAAGAGAACACAACUUCAUUGAGAGAUGCUCGACCCCUUCUGGCACCAACAGGUGCAGCCAGCUCUGCUCAGAACUGCUGAAGGACCAGGACCAUGG